AUUGAGCGGUGUGAACCGGAAGUAUAUUGUGUCCAUGGUGACUGUCUGAGGACAAACUGAGGACAUAGUGACAUCUACCGUCCAGGAGCGGCUGUUGCACAUAAAACACAUUGUCUGCUGCUUCAACUCCAGAGCAGAUGGUUGAUUAACGCUCGCUCUCAGGCUGCUGCUCAUGUGGAGCACAAACCCCCAGAGCCACUUUAUAUAAGACAAAAAGAUUCUUCAGUUUUAUUAGAGGAAUCACAGCAGAGACGACCCUGCUCUAAAAUAAAACACUUUCUUACAAUGA